rnacentral:rRNA from 1 species
AACGAACGCUGGCGGCAGGCCUAACACAUGCAAGUCGAGCGGACCUUUCGGGGUCAGCGGCGGACGGGUGAGUAACGCGUGGGAAUAUGCCCUUCUCUACGGAAUAGUCCUGGGAAACUGGGGGUAAUACCGUAUACGCUCUUUGGGGGAAAGAUUUCUCGGGGCAGGAUUAGCCCGCGUUGGAUUAGGUAGUUGGUGGGGUAAUGGCCUGCCAAGCCGUCGUUCCAUAGCUGGUUUGUGAGGAGGAUUAGCCACGCUGGAACUGAGACACGGCCCAGACUCCUACGGGAGGCAGCAGUGGGGAGUCUUAGGCAAUGAGGGCAACCCUGAUAUAGCCAUGCCGCGUGAGUGAUGAAGGCCUUAGGGUUGUAAAGCUCUUUCAGCUGGGAAGUUAAUGACGGUACCAGCAGAAGAAGCCCCGGCUAACUCCGUG